AUACGGAGGAUCCGAGCGUUAUCCGGAUUUAUUGGGUUUAAAGGGUGCGCAGGCGGCCAUUUAAGUCAGCGGUUAAAUCGUGGGGCUCAACCCCAUUCUGCCGUUGAUACUGGGUGGCUUGAUUGCGGUCGAGGUUGGCGGAAUUCGUUAUGUAGGGGUGAAAUGCAUAGAUAUGACGAAGAACACCGAUUGCGUAGGCAGCUGACCAGACCGCAAAUGACGCUCAUGCACGAAAGUGCGGGGAUCGAACAGGAUUAGAUACCCUGGUAGUCCGCACAGUAAACGAUGAAUACUUGUUUUCGGCGAUAUAAUGUCGGAGGCAAAGCGAAAGCGAUAAGUAUUCCACCUGGGGAGUACGCCGGCAACGGUGAAACUCAAAGGAAUUGACGGGG
rnacentral:rRNA from 1 species